UUCUCCACAUUUCAAACCAGGCUUCAUCAUGUCUUCAAAGAAGAGAGAGGGUGAGGACACCUGAAUGAAGGCCUUGGAGAUGGGAACACAACCUUUUGCUGCGCUUGAGGCACGCUCUACGCUUGACAGGCUUGUUGUGGAGAGAAAAUUACAACUCUCUGCGACCUUGAAUAGUUCACCAUUGACUAUACCUCUAGACUUACACCCCACACGAAUGAGAAGUGGGCGAGAUUUUGGAAGUCUGUUUUGUUGUUGUUGUAAAGCUCCUGUAGUUGGUUACAAGGUGAAGGAAUUGUGCACUCUUCUCGGCUGGUGGGUCCUAUUCAGCUUUGACACUUGGAUCUCUUGUGUGCCAAGAAGUCGGCAAGCGUAGGAAUCAGAACCUGAGACUAGAGGGCUUUUGUCUUCCAACGCCUACCAAACGCCAACGCAUGUCUUGCAGUGGGAUGCGGUGGAGAUGUUAACUGCAGUGGGCGAGUUCUUAGAAACUGGGGUGAUUCUGGUAUAUGGGUUACCAAUUCCCAUGGGGUUCCGUAAUAGCAGUUUUCUGUGACAUGAAGGACAGCAAUGUUGGCUCUCGAAUGAAUGCUAAAAACCUUAAACCAAUUUCUCGGCAAGGAAUGAGGAAGAAUUGACGUGCGCUGCCUGUUUCCAGCUGCCCAACAGCUGGUCUUGAAUUGUUUCCAUCCCCGCAGCGGCGCAAAUCUUGCUCUAGCGGAAGGUGAUAGUUGACCGCCUGAUCCAAGUCAGUGAUAGUCAGUGAAGAAUCAUGUACGAAUACCGGAACACAUGUGCCAAGGUAUGUGCUUUCUAUUGUUUUUACAAUUAAGACUGUUGUAUCAUGGUCAGAUUUGGUUUCGGGAGUGAAGAAUAGUCGACGGAGUUGCAGUGGCCUCACAAGCUUCGCCUAUUGAGCAUCUCACUCAAGUAUUUUUCCUUUUGAAAUACUUCCCAGAAGUUUAUGCUCUCACUGGACAUGCGGUGCUUAAUCUGGCCCAAAGCAGUCAGCUUUGAAGGAUGUCUAUGAGGGAUGGAGUUCAGUCGCUGGAAUAAUCUAUUAGCAUGCUAGCUGGGCAGGGUUUAAACCCUAAAUUUUCUAUUUCAAGACAUAGGUCACUUUGCUGAGUUGGGGUGUGGUGCAAGAGAUGGGCUCUAGUGUGUGACAUAUAUACAAUUUCAUCUAUGUUCUUUCCAAAACAUUUUAUCGCAUUUGUGAUUUAAGACAAAAAUAUCAAACAUCAAUAUUUCUUUCA